GACGAACGCUGGCGGCGUGCUUAACACAUGCAAGUCGAACGGAAAGGCCCUGCUUUUGUGGGGUGCUCGAGUGGCGAACGGGUGAGUAACACGUGAGUAACCUGCCCUUGACUUUGGGAUAACUUCAGGAAACUGGGGCUAAUACCGGAUAGGAGCUCCUGCUGCAUGGUGGGGGUUGGAAAGUUUCGGCGGUUGGGGAUGGACUCGCGGCUUAUCAGCUUGUUGGUGGGGUAGUGGCUUACCAAGGCUUUGACGGGUAGCCGGUCUGAGAGGGUGACCGGCCACAUUGGGACUGAGAUACGGCCCAGACUCCUACGGGAGGCAGCAGUGGGGAAUAUUGCACAAUGGGCGGAAGCCUGAUGUAGCAACGCCGCGUGCGGGAUGACGGCCUUCGGGUUGUAAACCGCUUUCGCCUGUGACGAAGCGUGAGUGACGGUAAUGGGUAAAGAAGCACCGGCUAACUACGUG
rnacentral:rRNA from 1 species